GACGAACGCUGGCGGCGUGCUUAACACAUGCAAGUCGAACGGGAUUUAGUAGACAGAAGCCUCGGCUAAAGAUUACUAAUGAGAGUGGCGAACGGGUGAGUAACGCGUGAGCAACCUGCCUAUGACAGUGGGAUAGCCUCGGGAAACCGGGAUUAAUACCGCAUAAAAUCGUAGAAACACAUGUUUUAACGGUCAAAGAUUUAUCGGUCAUAGAUGGGCUCGCGUCUGAUUAGCUAGUUGGUGAGAUAACAGCCCACCAAGGCGACGAUCAGUAGCCGGUCUGAGAGGAUGAACGGCCACAUUGGAACUGAGACACCGUCCAAACUCCUACGGGAGGCAGCAGUGGGGAAUAUUGCACAAUGGGGGAAACCCUGACGCAGCGACGCCGCGUGAACGAAGAAGGUAUUCGUAUCGUAAAGUUCUGUACUAUGGGAAGAUAAUGACAGUACCAUAGAAGAAAGCCCCGGCUAAAUACGUG
rnacentral:rRNA from 1 species